rnacentral:lncRNA from 1 species
ACAAUUGAGUGAAAUAUGGGAAGAAACCUUCUCCUCACACCUACCCUUUCUUCAUUCUCUUCUGCUCUGCAGGGGCUUCCACCGGCACCCUUAGAUUUUCCUUUUUCAUUCCUUAGAUGGAGGCAGCGUUAAUUUAGGAUGCAAAGCAUCUGCAGAGGAAAAGAUUUAUGCCUCCACUGCUCACACAUGAUGGUCCUGAUCCAGAGAGGAACCUCUCAUGCUUGCUUCUAAGUUAAAAAUCAAGGGAGACUCAGUUGCUCAGAGAAUCUUUUGGGGCUAAUCCAAUUGUUAAUCCCAGAUGAGUCAGACCCAUGUAAAUCCCACUGAUUCCGUGGCUGAACUCAAGUAACAAGUUACAACUAGAGUAGACCUAUUGAAUCAGUGGAAUUUACAGAGGAGCUGGCUCAGCAAUUUCCCACUGAUUCAGUGAGCCUACUCUAUUUGUGAUUUUUCCUGGAUUUCAGCUAUUGCAUCUAUGCUGGCUUCAGCAAGCAAUGGGAUUUAGCCCUUAAAAUGUAGUUUAAUUGGUAGAGCACAUGCUUUGUAUCUUUAAUCUCUGAUAUCAAAGGAACACUCAUGAAAUCAUGGAGUGAGCCAUUGCCUACCAGUGUGAGCAAUACUGAGCUGGAUUGGGAAAUGGUCUGCCUCUGUCUGUCCCAAAUGGACCCACCAGCCAGUUUCCAAUUAAGAACACAUAAAACAAUGAAGCACAGGAGAAACCUCAACAGCAGCUCAACAGAACGAAAUGGAGCAGUAAACGAUGAAGCCAUGAAGAGCCAGGAAUGGCAGAAGAAACAGAGGAUAUGUGAGCAAAUACACACACACACACACACACACACACACACACACACACAGAGAGAGAGAGAGAGAGAGAGAGAGAGAGAGAGAGAGAAUUGCAGCACAUCUGGCUCAAGGGAAGAACGCGGUAUCAAGUGACAUGAAUCAUUUAGGUCUGCUGCUCUGGUAGGGUUGGUCCCUUUCAAGAUGCCUGUUCUAAUGGCUAAUGGUUCCUCACCUUUAAAUCAGAUAUGGAGGGGACAGCCUUUGAAAUGGAGAACUGUCCUCCUUGUAAACGGAAGGGCUGGUCUGCAAUAUUUCACUGCCAAAGGAAAAAGACAAAAUGGUACUUGCUUCUCAUUCUAUGUGCAGACCGGAUCUUACUCCAGUACCUGUUGUGUGACAGUAGCUUCUACAUGCAGGAAUAUCGGUAAAACUGUGUAGAAUGCACCCAAGGAAAAUAACAAAGAAAAUGCAGGAAGAGGAAGGAAACGGUUAUCCUGAGUCCUUAAUGCACUUCCUGAGAAGGUUGCCUCAGGAAUCUUGCAUCUUGCAGCAAAGAGGUUCUCCUCUUGCAAAAGAGAGAAUGCAAAAUCUAGCCAAUAAUAAUAAUAAUAGCUUUUUUAACCCAAAAUUUCUUUCUUUACAAGAAAGUGGAGAGG